UACGAAGGGGGCUAGCGUUGCUCGGAAUCACUGGGCGUAAAGCGCACGUAGGCGGAUUGCUAAGUCAGGGGUGAAAUCCUGGAGCUCAACUCCAGAACUGCCUUUGAUACUGGCGACCUUGAGUCCGGGAGAGGUGAGUGGAACUGCGAGUGUAGAGGUGAAAUGCGCAGAUAUCAGGAAGAACACCCGUGGCGAAGGCGGCUCUCUGGGACGGUACUGACGCUGAGACGCGAAAGCGUGGGGAGCGAUCCGG
rnacentral:rRNA from 1 species